ACGCUCGACACCUACGGGAGGCAGCAGUAGGGAAUCUUCCACAAUGGACGCGAAGUCUGAUGGAGCAACGCCGCGUGAGUGAAGAAGGUCUUCGGAUCGUAAAACUCUGUUGUUAGAGAAGAACACGAGUGAGAGUAACUGUUCAUUCGAUGACGGUAUCUAACCAGCAAGUCACGGCUAACUACGUGCCAGAAGCCGCGGUAAUCUGAGCGGGCUGGCAAGGC
rnacentral:rRNA from 1 species